rnacentral:lncRNA from 1 species
GUCUGGGCUCUGCGAUGCUCACUCAUCUCUGUGAUGUUUCCAUUCAGAUCAGGAGCCCCCAGAGGGCGUAUAUUAGGUGCAGCCGGGUCCAGGGCCUUGAGCAAUGCUUGCAAACUUCCCCACCCCCUCACGCAUCUCCUGGUUCUGCUGUCCCCUUCUUGGCUUCAUCGGGCAGAGCCCAGCUUUCCCAGGCCUCCAGACUGCUGUAGCCUCGCCCAG